rnacentral:rRNA from 1 species
AACAAACGCUGGCGGCGUGCCUAAUAUAUGCAAGUCGAACGGGGAAAGCUUUCGGGUGAGUACUAGUGGCGCACGGGUGAGGAACGCGUGGAUAAUCUGCAUUAGAGUGGGGGAUAACUAGUCGAAAGAUUAGCUAAUACCGCAUAAGACCACAGGAGCUGCGGCUCUAGGGGUCAAAGGUUUUUCGCUCUAAGAUGAGUCCGCGUAAGAUUAGCUAGUUGGAGAGGUAACGGCUCACCAAGGCGACGAUCUUUAAUUGGUCUGAGAGGAUGAUCAGUCACAAUGGAACUGAGACACGGUCCAGACUACUACGGGAGGCAGCAGUAGGGAAUAUUGCACAAUGGAGGAAACUCUGAUGCAGCGACGCCGCGUGAGUGAUGAAGGCCUUCGGGUCGUAAAGCUCUGUCGCAGGGGAAUAACACAAUGAAUGUACCCUGUAAGAAAGGAUCGGUUAACUUCGUGCCAGCCGCCGCUGUAACAC